rnacentral:rRNA from 1 species
CCUACGGGUGGCAGCAGUGGGGGAUAUUGCACAAUGGGGGGAACCCUGAUGCAGCGACGCCGCGUGGGUGAAGGAGCGCCUCGGCGCGUAAAGCCCUGUCAGCAGGGAAGAAAAUGACGGUACCUGAAGCAGCAGCCCCGGCUAACUACGGGCCAGCCGCCGCGGUAAUACGUAGGGGGCAAGCGUUAUCCGGAUUUACUGGGUGGAAAGGGGGCGCAGACGGCGAUGCAAGCCAGGAGUGAAAGCCCGGGGCCCAACCCCGGGACUGCGCUUGGAACUGCGUGGCUGGAGUGCAGGAGGGGCAGGCGGAAUUCCUGGUGUAGCGGUGAAAUGCGUAGAUAUCAGGAGGAACACCGGUGGCGAAGGCGGCCUGCUGGACUGCAACUGACGUUGAGGCCCGAAAGCGUGGGGAGCAAACAGGAUUAGAUACCCGGGUAGUC